UAAAAAACUGUCCUGACUCCCAGUUGGAAACAUGACACUCACAGUUGGAAACGGGAAGCGAACAGCAGUCUCUUGCAGCUAAGUCAGCUUUUUGCCAUCUAUCUCUUUAGCCAUCCACCCAACCCACCACUUCCGAAUAUGGACAUCUGUCACCUUAUAUUGACAUUGUUUGAACUGUGUCACUUCUCCGUGUCAUAAUUACUAUAGCCACUAGAUGGUGUCUGUCACUCAAACAUAACUAUAGGUCGUUUUUGUUUUCUAAAGGGUGUUACUUCACUUUGUUGUAGCUUUUUGAAGACAGGGUUUACUUAUUAGAAUUGUGCACCUUAAAAGGUAAACAUUCUUAAGUUUAAUCAGUGGUAAAGAAAAAAAAAAGGCGAGUGCAGCAGAAAAGAAGAGAUGGUAGCAUAGAGAGGAUGAGUGGUUAGCGUGCUGACAAGAGUCAGUUUGGUUCAUUAACGGUGCAUAAUUGUUAAAUGAGUUGUUUACCUGGUGCCUUGCCCGGAAUAACUUGUUUGAACUUUGAGCUCACUAGCGACUAGCUAGCUAAGAGACUUGAGUUACCCUUGGUCAUGGGAUCAAGAGAGGAUAUGAGUGAGGAGGUCACCGCGUUGCUUCUGGACCCAGUGGAUACCCCAGAACAUGUUGGGUUUUUUUUCCGGGCAUUGGCCUUUGGAUUUAUUGAUAUCUUUCAGAAGAACCUUGUGACACAUUGGCUGUGGAUUUAUUUCGGACAGAAUGGUGCAGCACUGUAAAUAACAGAACUCUUGCUGCAUGAAUUCACUCGCCUGAGAUCCAACGUACAUGCUACACUGACUCUCGCAUACUAUACACACAUGUUGUAGGCCUAAUGCAUAUUGUUGGUCAAUAUAUGCAAAAAGGUUUGUUAAUACACUGAAAUUCAAACUUGUAUUUGAAUGUGUCUGGCUGAUUUAUAGUGGCUGUGAAAUAUCUUUGCACAGGGGUAUUUCUGCAUGUAAUGCUAUAUUUUCCAUCCCUUUGGAGGAAAUCUUCAGCCCUUGGCCCUGUUAUUUGUAGUUAAUGGCCCUUUCAUCGUCAUCCUUAUGCAUGUAGGACUUCUCUUUCUGUUACUCUCUCAUGGUAAUAUUUAACACAGUACGAGCCGAUGAAAAGUGAAAAUGUUACAUAUGGUUUACUGUCUGUAAAUGCAUCCUAACUGGACCUGCUUUAAUUGGCUGCCCUCUGUGUAGAAUUACUGAAACUCCUCCAGUCAGGCCAGUUUUUAGCUGAGGAGUGUCCACUCAGCAGGCUCAACUCGUUAGAAACAGAGCACCUGCUGUUGUCAGCUAUUUAGGUUCCAGCGUGAUUAGUGUUCUUAUGACUUUGUGACUGUGCAGAGUACAUGCUGGGGCUGCUGUCUGUGCACGCCCCUGGUAUGGUGAUGACUUGAAGUGGGAGGACAGGGAUGCACUUCUCAGGCCAGCACAUGGAGCACAGUUCGUUCUGUGCCGAAUAAAUCUUACGGUGAUUUCAGUAAUGGGGUACAAUGAAUGCAGUAAAAUAAGAAAUGUUAUCGCCUUGGUGGAUAUUUUGGACAUUUUUACUACUGAAUGAUGUUUGUUGCCAGUAUAUGGUGCAGAUUUGUGAUGCAACAUUGUGUCUUCACAUAACAGAACAACUGACAGGUAAUGCAGUUUCAGAGCCUUAAGUUCUGUUUUCUCCAAUAUUCAGCCUACUUCAAUAUUCAGGAAAGAACAUUGUGACUUGUGGCAUAAUAGAACAUUAACUCUGAACUGCUCUGGUUUUCACAUAAAAUUGCACAGACUGUCAGGAGCAGACAGGUUUUAUAUAUCUUUUUAUUGUAAAUUUAAGUCUGCUUAUACCAUCGAAUAUUCACUGUUUAUCACUGUUAUGAUGUAAGAUGAAGAAACUGCUUUCUCACUUUGUUAGUGUGAAUUUCUGCUUUUUCUUGUUAUAAAUCUCAGCGUAGCUCAGUGAAUCAUAUCUAUGUAAAAUAAAAAGCAGACUGAUAUGGGACAGCUUUUAGAUAAGCAGAGCUGGUCUGAGACAAGAACUUAUUUGAUAACACAUAAAUUAACCAGAUUUGAAUGUGAAAGUGUGUGUUGUGUCUAUGUGAGGCUGUGCAGGGUAUAUCCAGUACCCUGCCUCUCGUCCAGUGUUGUGCUGGGAUAGCUUGCAGCCCCUCACUACCUUGAACAGGAUGAGCAGGUAGGCCGAGAACAAAGCGGAGAACGGUGACACGCAGGAAGCUGACGACGCAAACAGGGCAUCAGCACAAAGGCCUCUGGAGAGAAGCUAUCCUUGGCUAGCCGGCCGUUAGUGAGGCGGCAUUGACCUUUUCCGCUGCACCCGCGACUGUAGAGGAAUUAGAUAUAAGAUGUGGACAGAGCAGAGGCUGGAGGGGUCGGAGAAAUCAAGGAGAUAGGGAAAAUAGAGUCAUCGCUCACAUGGUGGCUGCCUUUGUGCUUCUGUUUCACACUCCAGGUGUUGAUGCACAGAAAUUAGAGGUAUUAAUUGCUUCAGUAAGACUGUGACCGCAAAGAAACAACAAGUUGAGUUGUUCUGCAUUACUAAAUGAGAUAAACAAUGCCUAUGCAAUUAUGUAGUGCACUAUCAAAGAAAAUAAGAAAAUAUUACCCUCUCUGCUUCAACAGUUUCUGCUCAGUCACUGUGUUGUGUGACUUACACUUGUAUCAGUAAAACUACACUGGAUUCUGUCACAUUUCUUAAAAUUGUUACAAAAGCAUAUAGGAAGGUGAAAUUUAACUUUCCUACAGCUCUUUAUUGGUCUAACUGGAUAUUGAUUUCUUGUCUGUUUUAUCUGCUUCAUUGAAGGUGUGACAUAAAUAACAUGAGGGGCUCCAGUCUCAUGAAAAUAGAGUGCACUCUUGGUAAUUUUGUGUCCAGGGGAGCGCACUGUACUUAGAUACCAGGUUGGAUUAGAAAGAUUACAUAAUCAUAAAUUUUAGGUGGGUGAUAAAGGCUGUGACAAUCACGGCCAAUCACAUUUGCUACUUUCAUCCCCCUUAAAGAUGCAAGACUGUUUGGGAAUCCUGUGAAUAGAACUUAUUAUUGUCUGGGGAGUGGAGAGUAUGAACAUAGCAGCUCACCAUUUCAAGUGACAGAAUAGUGUAAAAGUAUAGUUAUAGUAUAAAAGUUUGCUCAGACAAAAAGUGAAGCAAAUUUUCAUCUCAUGACGUUCAAAUUUGACCACUGGACCAUUUGGGUUUGUUCACCCCAAACAGCUAAACUGUGAGAUAGCUAGCAACUGACAAGCUGACCGCGUGUAGGGGAAUGUGUUUGUGACUGAACUCAGAACUCACAAGACUACUGUCCUCUCUGUUAUUUCCAUCCAGUCAUUUGUACACUUGCUCAAGUUGAAUACUUCCAACUCUUCCCAUCAAUUCCUGACAAACUCAUGUUUAAUCACAUCUUUCCAUUUGCUUUGUAUACAGUCAUGUCUCUAAAAUUUGCCUCUUGUUCUGUCUGAACUCAUCCACCCUUUUUUAUGCAUUUUUUUUUCAAUUUUUUACGCUUGGAUGAGGUGGAAAAGUUGAUGUAUCAGUAAAAGCAAAAUGUGAUAAAGUGCAAUGGAAACAGAUUUACCUAAUAAAUGAUGACGUACAAGAAGGUCAACCAUGACACCAACAGCAAACCUUCCCAAAGUGAGUCAUCAAACCAUCAAACUGGUGCAGGCCAGGAAAGGGCUCCUCAAGAAAAUAACACCUCACCAGUGCAGAGCUGUGCUUCAUAUCACAUGACAAUAGAGCCAGAGGUCAAAGUUCAAAGUACAGUGACCUCUCACAUAAAAUUCUAUUUAAGUAAAUAUACUGAAUUUCCUUUAACCCCUGUGUUUUGUUGACAGUGACAUUUUGUUGACAUUUCCUAGAAGGGAACUGAUGCUGGUAAUUCAUAAAGGUUCCUGUAAACAACAUCUCAAGGUCAUGUGUGACGAAUGACAUGGAAAAUGAAGACCAUGUUUGUAUUGGUGCACUUCUAAUAAAUGCUCAUUAUUUGUUAAAUAGUUCUUUCCAGGAGACGUCUGGGCUCAUUGGGAAAAUACAAACCUGUAAAAUAAAACCAAACCACCUGCAAGUUCGCUUUUAUUUACAUAAACAUCCCACACACAUAAUAAUCUGCAUUUACUUAUAAAUGAAACCCCAAAUCAACUCUGGCCAGCAACAUAUUGAAGAAUAUAGGAACCUCCUGAAUGACUGAUUUUUCUGUUUGUUUGUUUGUUUGUUGGGGGGUAUAACACAUUUACUACAAGAAUAAGUCCUUCCACAAACCAUAGCAGCUUAAUGUGUGUGAUCAUUGUAAAUAAUCCUGUGUCUCUUCUCUCCCUCGUCUCUCUCUGUCCCUCUGCACUGUUGGAUGAACGUUCAAAUGAAUGAAAACUAAGUCAAAGACAUACUUAUAUGUUCCUGGCAUCCACUGCUUUUUCCACAAACUGCAAAAUACUGGAGAAAGUGUUAGAGGAUAUCAGGCAGGUAUAUGAGCAAUUCCUUAAUUAUCAGUUAUUUCCCCAUUUGUUCUUCUGUUUUCCUGUAAAAUGUUUACCCUGUUGUUAAGUGUUACACUUUUAGUCUUCACAGAAACCACUAGACACCAGAAAAUACUUUCACCAACAUGAUGAGGUGGCAAGAUGGCGGCAGGUAGAGUAGGUGUAGUCACAGCUUUUUUAGUUUAUGUGUUACUUUUAAAUCUUCUCCUCACAUCUGCCCUCUUUUUAACAACUACGAUGACUACAAUGAUGAAAAGCCAAGUUAUGCGACCAUUCUGUUAAGCCAACCCACAAAGCAAGCCAACAAACACUUUGGUCAUGGGAGGCAUGCCCUAGCUGUCACGUUCAUCUAUCCAGUGUUUGUGCAACCAGAAGCAAAACAUGGAACUUCUACCAGCGUGGUCACAACCAGAUGCAACACCACUUUCUCACAGGUACGCACUUUUUAUAGUGACAUGUCAAGCUUUGUUUAUGAACAACAAACUAACCUUACAGGUCGUGUCUGCUCUCUGAGCACCAUGGAGGAUCUGGAGGCUGCCCAAGAUGUUGAGUCCAGUCCAGUUUGCUUAGCAACCAACUUGACAAGGGCCUCUAUGAGAGGGGAUGACGAACAUCCACAGGCCGGACCAAAUGUGUCAGCAGAGCUGUCAGUGCCAGUGAGGUAUCUGGAUGCCGGCAGGAUGCCCAAGAAGGCUGUGAGGAUGCCGAUAAAUCAUAGUUGUCCAGUUGCAUCAAACAACAAAGGUGACAAUCCACCUACAAGACUACAAAACAGUCCCACGGGUGAUUGUAAUCCAAUGGACAGCCUGCAUUGUUGCUGGAGGGCACACAAUCACUUCAAACAAGAAACUGAUCAUAAAAAAAAAAAUAGAAGUGGAAGGUCUUUCAAACUAUCAAUCACUCCAGAAUAAUAUGGGAAGUAUUAAAUCAAAAAGUGAUCAAAUCCAACAUCUUUUGGACUCCAAUCUAGAUUUUCUCUGUUUAUCUGAGACUUGGCUUCAUAAAAACUUGCCACCCACAGCAUUAAAAGUACCUGGUUAUGAAAUCUAUAGAAGAGAUAGCAUGGACUCAAAUGGUGGUGGUGUCAUGAUUUAUGUGAAAGAUAGCAUCCCAUGUAAGGAAAUCUGCUUAUCAAACUGAAAGGAGUUGGAAUGUUUUGGUAUAAAUAUCAAUUUAUCACCACAAAUGUCUUCUGUACUUGUAAUUCACUGCCCACCCUCAUCAAGCAAUGGUUUAUAUGAGACACUCUGAAACAUUCUGAGAAGAGGUGAUAAUUAUGGGAUAUUUUAACAUCAGUUGGGAAGACAGACCAAUUAGAAAGAAGCUGCAGCAGAUGAGCAGCAUGUGUGCAUUGCGGGACCUCUUGCUUUUCAUUUCGGAGCCCAUUUUUUCCACAUGAGGCACACCGUUCUCAACAAAACAGAUGAUCUAUUGA